CGGAGCCUGUUUACUCUAGUGCGCAGGGCGGAGUGGCUGCUGUGCUGACGCGUGCUGUGCUGCGCUGGCGUCUUGCAAAUGCAAUAGGAAGAGGGAAAAGAAUGGUUGAAAAGAACUGGUUUGUAGUUCACUGUUGUACUCCAGGCAAAAAAUCUUAGCUCCUUCUUUCAAGUAUUUUAUAUUACUCUAUGUUAACUCCGUCUCAGACCCCCUCCCGCCUUCCACCACCAGAGGUCCUGAAAGGUGUAAAGAAGAUGAAGUAAGCAAAAACUUAGCAAUUUGAAAGGCCACAUUUUAGGGAUAUUUAUAUGCUAGAAAGCAUCCAGAAGAAGGCAUUCAGAUGUGUAAUGCCACCUCUAAGCCUACCAACCUCUUCUUGAAUUGGCAGUGGAAUGUUUCAGAAAACAACUGGCUUCAUUUAUUGAGAACAAAGAUUACAUGUUUUUGCUGAAUGCAUUAAAAAGAUUUAAUCAUGAAGAGGUGCUUCUUCAUGUCCUUCACAGUUUACAUUCCCAAGCACUCUCAUGCACUUCCUAAGCCCGUCCUUUGUGUCAGACGCUAUGGAAUUAGAGUUGGGAAUCCACAGAUGAAGGUGCAACGGACCCUGCCUCUCAAGGAGAGGGAGAAAACAUGUACACACAUAGACAGGAUGAUGCUUGAGUCAUCAGUGGCAAGACAAAGGUCAAGAUGACUGGUGAUCACCCAGUAUUCACAGAAAAUAUGCUAUGAAGAAUCCAAGGACCUAAAAGAAGAAGGCAUGUGAUGAUAUGAUAACCUGAUAUAGUCACAAUUAUGUGAGAAAAAGCACAAAGUGCUGGGCACUGGACUUGAAGUCAGGAAGAUCUGGGUUCAAAUAUCCUCUCUGACAUUAACCAGAUGAUCCUGUUCCUCAUUAUCUUCAUCUAUAAAAUGAGGGGGGUGGGCCCAAUUGCUUUUAAGACCUUUUUCGUCUCUAGCUUUAUUAUUCAAUUAAAGUGUAUUUCCCCCUUAAUCAGUUUUGCUUACCAGCUAAAUCUUUGUUGUUGUUAUUUUUUUUUUGGCACAUAGUGUUAUGUGACUGGUUCAGUCACUUAACCAUGCUCUACCAAAGGUGGCAAACAUGAAGCAAAGAACCAAAUAAAAAUGUAAUUAGAAAAUAUUUAAUAAAAUAAAUCAAAUACAGUACCAUAAAGAUAAUGUUAAUUUGUGGUUUUCACAAGGAUUGGUUUCUAUUUGAGUUUUAUACCACUGCUAUAGGCAACUCUCUGAUCAUAUUUUCAAGAAUGGUACCAACCUGGAUUAGUAGUUGUUUCCUUCCAGUUUUAGUCCCUAUCCCUAUCCCUAUCCCUAUCCCUGUCUCUAUCCCUAUCCCUAUCUUUAUUUGAAUAGUAGUCUUAAUUCUUCCUCUCUACUGAUAAUAGAUUGGGGUGUAGUGAAAAAUAAAAUUUACAUUCAUAUUUCCAUAGUCAGUUGCUCACAGAUAUAGAAUCUCUUCCUUUAAAGCAUGGAUUCUUAACUUGGGAGAAGGAGGUCUGAAUUUGAAUUGGAAAAAUAUUUUGAUAACUCUUUAGAUAUAAUUGGUUUCCUUUGUAAUCCUGUGUGUUUUUUACUUUAUACACUUAAAAAUAUUAUUCCAUAUUCCAUAUUUACCAGAUUGUUAAUGGGGCACAUAACAAAAAAAAAUUAAGAAUACAUGUUUCUAAGAAACUUUACCCCCUUUCCAUCUAUUGUUGUCGUUCAGUUGUAUCCCACUAUUCAUUACCCCUUGGACCAUAGAACACCAAUACUGUCUGUGGGGUUUUCUUGGCAAAGAUUUACUGGAAUGGUUUACCAUUUCCUUCUCCAGUGGA